CGUUCCUCGGCGUCUUCGUCUGCGCGGACGCGGGGUGAUUGCGUCACACGUACGCGACAAUUUGCCAAGCAGUCGGGCAAGGCACUUUCCGAUGGCUCAGAUUCCGCCCGGUCCUCUCACAGAGUGACAACCGCUUCAAGGCACGACAAGGACAGUGUCCAUAUGAACUCAUAGUGACUAUGACUACAUCCCCAAGACACAUCCAAGAUCAAGCCAACAAAUAUCCCAACCUGGAUGAGGGGGAGAGGUCUACAAAGUAACACCCCAGCUGAGAAUUACAUACUACAAAUCGAUGGCUGCUGGAGUAGAAAUAUCAGUUUUCUUCAGUGAUGUGGCUCCUUAAGGGUUACCCUCGUUGGACUCUACAAUCAUAUACAUGCUGGCUGCACUAAGUAGACCCAAUAGUUUUUAAAAGAAAGGAUACAUGACAUUAGCAGAAAGUAAUGGUUUGUGGGCAAAGGAAAAGAAUUAGAGAAAACUGAAUGGUUAUGGAUUUGAUUAUAAUACACCAUAUGUAUGUACAAAAUAUCAAUAAAAUUGUAAAUCUGCAAAAAAAAAAAAGUUCUGUAACAUCCUGGUUCAGGAUGCAGUUUAGCUCCUGUGUCCCUGAUCCAUCAGUAGGGGACUGAGUACAAUACAUUGUGCCGUCUGCUUGCACCCUCACUGAGAUGGACAUUUGAAGACGCAGUCAGCUCCCCAGUCUGUGCUGCUGUCCCUGCCUAGUCGGUUCUUGCUGCCUAAUUCAAAUAAAGACCAUGCUUUGCUGGA